rnacentral:sRNA from 1 species
CCGGAGUGCAGUGGCACCAUCUCAGCUCACUACAGCCUCGGCCUUCCAGGUUCAAGCAAUUCUCCAGCCUGAGUCUCCCGAGUAGCUCGGAUUAUAGGCAUAUGCCACCACGCCUAGCUAAUUUUUGUAUUUUUAGUAGAAACGGGGUUUCGCCAUGUUGGCCAGGCUGGUCUUGAACUCCUGGCCUCAGGUGAUCCCACUGGCCUUGGUCUCCCAAAGUGCUGGGACUACAGGCAUGAGCCACAGCGCCCGGCUGUAAUCCAGUUUUUUUGUUUUUUGUUUUUUGGUUUUUUUUUGAGACGGAGUCUCACUUUGUUGCCCAGGCUGGAGUGCAGUGGCACAAUCUCGGCUCACUGCAACCUCUGCCUCCCAAGUUCAAGCAAUUCUCCUGCCUCAGCUUCCCGAGUUGCUGGGAUUACAGGCGCAUGCCACCACACCCAGCUAAUUUUUUGUAUUUUUAGUAGAGACGGGGUUUCACCAUGUUAGCCAGGAUGGUCUCGAAAUCCUUACCUCGUGAUCCAUCCGCCUCAGCCUCCCAAAGUGCUGGGACUACAGGCGUGAGCCACGGUACCCAGCCCUAGUUUUAUAUUCUAAUUUUUGCUUUCAGUUUGUCUCUGGUACUAAAAAUAUUAGAAUGAACACCCUUAUACAUAGCAACCUUUGCUUACAUAUAUAACUAUUUCCCAAGGUUAAAUCCUAUAAAUUGUAUUGUAAGUCACAGGAUAUGAAUGUUUUUCAGGCUUGUGAUGCUUAUUAACAAUUAUCCCUCCCAGAAAACUUGUACCAUUUUAAUUCCCUUAACAGUAAUUUAGGAAAUGAUACAUUUCACCACAUUUGGAACAACAGUAAAUACCAGCUUUUAAAAUUUAUGCCAGUCUGAUAAGUAAAGCAUUUUAUCUCUAUUUUAAGUUGCAUUUAACUUUAUUUCAUUUAUUUACUAUUUGAUUUUUUGUGUGUGUGAAUUGCCUGUUCAUUACCUUUGCCUAAAUUCGUUUACUUUUCUCAUUUAUUUGUAAGAGCUAUUUAUACAUUAGGGCAUUAGUUCUCUUGUCAUAUAUGUUAAAAUUGCAAUUUUCCUAGUGUACCAUUUGCCUUGUAAUUUUGCUUAGUAGAGUUUCUGGCAGAAUUUUUUAAAUAAAAGUUUGAAUAUAAAUGUAGUCAAAUCUUUCUCUUGUGUUUGUUGUUCAUUCUACCCCACUUAUCUUUAGAAAAUCUUCCCCAUUUAAAGAUCAAAAUAACCAACUAUAUUUUACUGUAAUUUUACACUUUGUUAAACAUUAAAUAGAGUGUAGGUUUUAAGUUUCUUCCUUAUGAUUAUGAAAAUUUUCUAAUCAACAUUAGAUAUUUUCUUGUUUAGCACCUCUAGCUUUACUAUCAAAAUUACUGGCAUUUAUUUUAAAGAUUCCGAUUGAUUCCUCACUUCAGGUUUUACAGACAUUUCACCAGAGGAAUUGAGGCUUGAAUACCAUAACUUCUUAACCAGCAAUAACUUACAGAGUUAUCUAAAUUCUGUCCAACGUUUAAUAAAUCAAUGGAGGAACAGGGUAAAUGAACUGAAAAGCCUCAAUAUAUCAACUAAAGUAGCUUUGCUCUCUGAUGUAAAGGAUGGAGUAAAUCAAGCAGCACCUGCAUUUGGAUUUGGCAGUAGUCAAGCAGCAACAUUUGUGUCGCCAGGCUUUCCAGUCAAUAACAGCAGCAGUGAUAAUGCUCAGAACUUUAGUUUUAAAACAAACUCUGGAUUUGCCACUGCCUCUUCUGGAAGCCCUGCUGGUUUUCGGAGUUCCCCAGCAUUUGGAGCUGCAGCCUCUACCAGUUCAGCUAUCUCUACUUCUGCUCCAGCUUUUGGAUUUGGGAAACCUGAAGUCACCUCGGCUGCAUCAUUUUCAUUCAAAAGCCCUGCAGCUUCCAGUUUUGGAUCACCUGGAUUUUCAGGACUUCCAGCUUCCUUGGCAACAGGUCCUGUCAGAGCUCCAGUGGCCCCAGCCUUUGGAGGUGGCAGUUCUGUGGCUGGUUUUGGUAGUCUGGGCUCACAUUCUCACGCUGCUUUUUCUAAGCCAUCCAGUGACACUUUUGGAAAUAGCAGCAUAUCCACUUCUCUCUCAGCCUCAAGCAGCAUCAUUGCAACAGAUAAUGUGUUAUUCACACCCAGAGAUAAACUAACAGUAGAAGAACUCGAACAAUUUCAAUCCAAGAAAUUUACUCUGGGAAAAAUUCCAUUAAAGCCUCCACCUCUGGAACUUCUAAAUAUUUAAAAGGGCAAUUUUAAAUCCAAAAAAUAAUGAUGUUUAAAAUUGUUUUGAGUGAUUCAUAUAGAGAUGUAUAUAUGCAUACAUGUAUAUAUUCAUAAGGAAUAUAAGCUUCCAUUAAUAGUGAUUUUAAAUUUUAUUUUUUUCUUAAGUCUAAAUAUUUAAGUAAAAAGUAACAAAAACUCAGCAAGCAAGGGAAGUUUUUUGUACAGUAAUUUUGGAUGGAACUGAAAAAUUGUGCACGAAUAAAGUACUUUUCUCAUGCCAUACCA